rnacentral:rRNA from 1 species
AUACGUAGGGGGCUAGCGUUGUCCGGAUUUACUGGGCGUAAAGCGCGUGUAGGUGGUUUGGUAAGUAGGGCGUGAAAGCUCCUGGCUCAACUGGGAGAGGACGUUCUAAACUGCCAAGCUUGAGGAUGGUAGAGGGAGGUGGAAUUCCGGGUGUAGCGGUGGAAUGCGCAGAUAUCCGGAGGAACACCAGUGGCGAAGGCGGCCUCCUGGACCACUCCUGACACUCAGACGCGAAAGCUAGGGUAGCAAACGGGAUUAGAGACCCCGGUAGUCCUAGCCCUAAACGAUGUAGACUUGGCGUCGGUGGUUUAAUCGCCAUCGGUGUCGUAGCUAACGCGUUAAGUCUACCGCCUGGGGACUACGGCCGCAAGGUUAAA